GACAGAGGGUGCAAACGUUGUUCGGAAUUACUGGGCGUAAAGCGUGCGCAGGCGGUUAUGUAAGACAGGUGUGAAAUCCCAGGGCUUAACCUUGGAACUGCAUUUGUGACUGCAUAGCUAGAGUACGGUAGAGGGGGAUGGAAUUCCGCGUGUAGCAGUGAAAUGCGUAGAUAUGCGGAGGAACACCGAUGGCGAAGGCAAUCCCCUGGACCUGUACUGACGCUCAUGCACGAAAGCGUGGGGAGCAAACAGG
rnacentral:rRNA from 1 species